rnacentral:lncRNA from 1 species
CCCCUAUUAACCCCUGAUAUACCCACAUCCCCCCCAGUUUCCCUCUGAUCUCCCUAUAUCCCCUAUAUAUUUCCCCCUAUAUCCCCCCCUAACUUCCCCCACAUCCCCUUAGAUGUCUGUAUUCCUUUCUUCAUUCAGCUCAGGCAAUGCCAAGCCUGUUUUAUUCCAUUCCCCCAUAAAGUAGCUGCAUUUGAGUAUUUCCAUAUUUUUCACCGUGCCUCUUACAUUUAUUUGCUUUAAGCUGUUCCCAUCCAAAAGCUCGGAGCACACGGGCAAAACCAUUCAUUGCUUCCACUCUGAACAAGAACCGAAAUCCUCACCCUCUGAAACUGCUCUGAUUGACUGCGAUGAAACAAAGCGUAUUGCCUAAAGAAACCAUUGUCUGUUUUCCUGCAGCUUAGAUGACAAGCCUGGCAUGGUCAGCAGGCAGCAAGCGCUCUGGGAGUCGUGGUUUGCAUGAGUUUGUGAGGAGAUGACACAAAGCUAGAGCAUAGAAAGCUGCACAGAUCCCAAAACACCCUUAGGAUUCAACCAUUAAUCCUUCUGUGUUGUUUUCUGUUCUAUUCCUGUGGAGGUGAGUGCAAAAGAUUGGUAAUGGGCACAUAGCAGAAAACCCCAUAUAUAUUCUGCUCAGCUGCAUCACACUGUCAUAGCUCCUCUUGGAUGUGGGAUAGGAGGUGUUUUUGACACUGAGCAGUGCUGUGGGAAUUGAUCUGCCUCUGAUUUGCUGAGUAGGGAAGUGCAACAGAAAGAAAAACAUGAGCUUUCUUUUAAAGCGUGUGCAGUUCUUACAUAGCACUACACACUUAGUAUCUCCCCAAAAGUAAUUAAAGAAACAACAUUUUAAUAACCGAAGUAUCCCAGAGUAUAAAAUCCAGUUGUUCUGGUUGCCCUCAUCCUUUCUGUUCCAGCAAUACACGCAUUGCUCUUACAGCUUUAAGAGUUAUCUAGAGAUGCAGCCAAGCACCAAAACGGAACAAAGUAUGACGCAGAGAUGUCUGUCAUGAUGUGUUUUCACAGAAAUCACUGUGUGUGAUGACUUCUCCACCCUGUAAUUCAGCCUCUUUUUGUCCCAGGAUAAUUCAAACAUUCGUCUUGGUCAGCUCUGUGUGGAGACAGAGUACAGCACAAGUUUACAAGCUUAUGAGCAUGAGUUUAUCUAAAUUCUAAAUGGUGUUAUUUCUGAACUUUGUGAGACCUAAGUCUUCUAAAGUGGGGCCACUAUGUCUAUCCAUCUCCUCAUCUGAUUCAUUGCCUACAGGUAACUCCCAGUUACCUAGUUCUAAAU